rnacentral:rRNA from 1 species
AGAGUUUGAUCCUGGCUCAGGAUGAACGCUAGCGGCAGGCCUAACACAUGCAAGUCGAGGGGCAGCAUUUCGGUAGCAAUAUCGGAGAUGGCGACCGGCGCACGGGUGCGUAACGCGUAUGUAACCUACCUUAAACAGGGGGAUAACACUGAGAAAUCGGUACUAAUACCCCAUAAUACUAUUGGAGGCAUCUCCGAUAGUUGAAAGUUCCGGCGGUUUAAGAUGGACAUGCGUUGUAUUAGUUAGUUGGUGAGGUAACGGCUCACCAAGGCGACGAUACAUAGGGGGACUGAGAGGUUAACCCCCCACAUUGGUACUGAGACACGGACCAAACUCCUACGGGAGGCAGCAGUGAGGAAUAUUGGUCAAUGGACGCAAGUCUGAACCAGCCAUGCCGCGUGCAGGAUGACGGCUCUAUGAGUUGUAAACUGCUUUUGUACGAGGGUAAUAUCGGAUACGUGUAUCUGCAUGAAAGUAUCGUACGAAUAAGGAUCGGCUAACUCCGUGCCAGCAGCCGCGGU